rnacentral:rRNA from 1 species
AGUCCACAUCGACGGGGAGGUUUGGCACCUCGAUGUCGGCUCAUCACAUCCUGGGGCUGUAGUAGGUCCCAAGGGUUGGGCUGUUCGCCCAUUAAAGUGGUACGCGAGCUGGGUUCAGAACGUCGUGAGACAGUUCGGUCCCUAUCCGUCGCAGGCGUAGGAAAUUUGAGAAGACCUGUCCUUAGUACGAGAGGACCGGGAUGGACGUACCUCUGGUGUACCAGUUGUCCUGCCAAGGGCAUGGCUGGGUAGCUAUGUACGGAAUGGAUAAGCGCUGAAAGCAUCUAAGCGCGAAGCCAACUUCAAGAUAAGAUUUCCCACCGCAAGGGUAAGACCCCAGAAAGACUAUCUGGUUGAUAGGUCGAAGGUGUAAGUGUAGCAAUGUAUUUAGCUUAUCGAUACUAAUAGGUCGAGGACUUGACCAAU